rnacentral:lncRNA from 1 species
CGUAAUUGUAGAAUCACAGAAACAGCUGGGUUUAUGAGUAGUAUAGGAACAAAUUAGAACAAUGGAACAUUGUUUCUCCUACCAGACUGGGAAGUGUUACAAAAAUAGAUAAUACCCAUCAUAAAUUGCCAGAUGGGAGAUUAAAAAUGAAAUGCUCUCCCUGGGAACCUUUUGGAACAAGGAAUCAAAAAGCUUAGAAAUGCAACCACUUUGAUCUAGCUAUUCCUUUUUUAGGGAUUAAUCCUUAAAUUUCUGACAAGCAGGAAAGGGGGUAGUAAAGGAUUACACAGAAUCAUUGGUUAUCAUAGCAAAAUUAAGAAAAACAUGCAAUUGUUUAAACGCAUUAAAUAAGAUCCGUAUAAUGGACCACUAUGCAAUUAUUUAAAAUGGUGCUGUGAGUAUUUUGUCAUUGAAAUGGCUACAAACAUUGAAAUGGCUAAAUUAACUGGAAACAGGGUUUAAAAGAAUACAUACAGUUUGUAACAGGCGAGGUCCUUCAGAGCAGAUGAUGGAGAGACCAUGGGUAGGAGGGGAAGCAAUUAGGGAUAAACGUCUAUGAAAGCAAGCAAGCAAAAGUGGGCUUGGGUAGAGGGAAAAGUCAAACCAUAAUGCAGGGCUAACAAAACCUCAGCCAGCUGACAGGGACUCCAGAACAAGCAGGAUCCAUCAGAGUUAGCUGGGUCAACACCAGGUGACCAGAUCUUUAUACCCAUACCUCUCCCAGGCACAGGAAGGUGCUGCCAGGGAAGAGCCUGACCUCAGGAGGCAUCUGCAGCCGAAGCCAACUGCUGAAACUCAUAACCUGGGGCUGUCCACUAAACAAACUCCUCCCAGGUGAGUGACAAGUCCUCCUUGAUAGGUAGUAGACAUCUCUGCAUGCACCACACCAUAUAUCUUUGUGUUUUCAGAAAACAAAUGACACCUAUCUACACCCAUGGGGAAAAAAAUCUGAAGAAAAAUAAACUGUUUUUGUAGAACAACUGCCAAAAAGUGAAGAGCCCUGGUGGUGGUUAAUUUCAUGUGUCAAUUCACCUGGCCAUGGGGUGCCCACAUUAAACAUUGUUUCUGCAUGUGUCUGGGAACAUGUGUGUUUCUGGAUUAGAUUUACAUUGGAAUCAGCAGACUCAGUGAAGUAGAUUGCCCUCCCCCAUGUGGGUGGGCAUCAUACAAUCCCUUCAGGGCCUUGCUGGAGCAAAAAGCAGAGGAAGGAGGAAUUCACCCCUUUUCUACCACAUUGCUUGAGCUAAGGCAUGUAUCUUCUGCCCUCAGGGCUCCUGGUUCACAGACCUUCAGACCUAGACUGGAAUCUGCACCAUUGGCUUCCUUGGUUCUCAGGCCUUGAGAGUCCAACUAAAUUACACCACCAGCUUUCCUGGGUCUCCAGUUUGCAGAUGGCAGAUCUUGGGAUUCUGCAAACUCCAUAAUUAAGUAAGCAUCUGACUCUUGAUUUGGCUCAGGUCAUAAUCUCAUGGUUUGUGAGUUUGAGCCCCAGGUCAGGCUCUACGCACUGACAUCACGGACUCAGCUUGGGAUUCUCUCUCUCUCCCUUUCUCUGCCCCUCCCCAACUCACGUUCUCUCUGUCUCUCUCAAAAUAAACUAAAAACAACCCACAAAUUUGUUACCACACAAUCUGGAGGUCAGCAGUCUUAGACUUGUCUUACAAAACUAAAAUCAGUUGUCAGCAGGGCUGUGUUCCUUCUGAAAGAUCUAAAGGAAAACCCAUUCUGUUUCCUUUUCCAGCUUCAAGAGGCUAUCUGAAUUCCUCCACUCUUGGCUCCUUGCACCUUUGAAGCCCAACACCUGCAUCACCCCAACAUCUGCUUCCAGUGUCAUCCAGUGACUUCUCCUUCUCUGACUCUGACCUCACUCUCCUGCCUCCCUCUUUUUCCUGUUGGGACUCUUUAUAUGUUUAUUUAUUGUUGAGAGAGAGUGUGUGCAAGCAGGGGAGGGGCAGAGGGAGAGAGGGAGACAGAGAAUCCCAAGCAGACUCCGCACUGUCAGCACAGAGCUGGAUGCGGGACUCGAACCCACCAAUGGUGAGAUCAUGACCUGAACCAAAAUCAAGAGUCAGUCACUUAACUGACUGAGCCACCCAGGGGCCCCAGGACAAACCAAAUUUUAAACACAAAAGCCAUUUAUUAACCAUGUAAUAAAUUUUUAAACUCAUAAAAAGCAUGAGAGGCAAAAAUAUGAUAACAUGGGAAGAAAAGAUAGACUGGGGAAAAUGGGUAUGUGUGUAUGUCAGGUACGUGGAUAAUAUCAAUAAUAUACAGCAUACGGAUCUUUCAAAUUGAAAACAAAAGAGAAAAGCAGUCAAAGCAUCUGGGUAUCCUAUUCACAGAGGAACUCAACAAAAUAACAAGCACAUAUCUGAAAAGGACUUUCCUACUAGUGGAGAAAUGCAAGUUGAAAUUAGGAUAAAAUGAUGAGACAUCACCUUACUUAGGCCUAUCAAACUGAUACAAAAUGAAAAAGCAUAAAGACCCAUAUGGCAAGUGGUGUGCAGUCAAGUGUACUCUCCCACAUUGAAGGUGCAAUUGUAAAAUGGAAAGCAAUCUGGAAAUAGAAAUUAACACUUAAAAUAUAGAAAAUAACGUGCUCAACCAUCACACUCUUAGAAAGCUAUUCCAUAGUAGUCAUAGGUAAGGAGUACACACAAGGAUAUUUCUUCAACACUGGCCACUGAGAUGCCAAAGAAUGGAAAGGGAGGGAGAGGGGAGGGAAAGAAUACAGGUAGGAUA